CAGUAGCCGCGGGAAUACAGAGGGUGCGAGCGUUAAUCGGAUUUACUGGGCGUAAAGCGUGCGUAGGCGGCUUCUUAAGUCGGAUGUGAAAUCCCUGAGCUUAACUUAGGAAUUGCAUUCGAUACUGGGAAGCUAGAGUAUGGGAGAGGAUGGUAGAAUUCCAGGUGUAGCGGUGAAAUGCGUAGAGAUCUUGAGGAAUACCGAUGGCGAAGGCAGCCAUCUGGCCUAAUACUGACGCUGAGGUACGAAAGCAUGGGGAGCAAACAGGAUUAGAUACCCCAGUAGUCCCUGUCUCUUAUAC
rnacentral:rRNA from 1 species